CCUACGGGGCGCAGCAGUCGAGAAUCAUUCACAAUGGGGGAAACCCUGAUGGUGCGACGCCGCGUGGGGGAAUGAAGGUCUUCGGAUUGUAAACCCCUGUCAUGUGGGAGCAAAUUAAAAAGAUAGUACCACAAGAGGAAGAGACGGCUAACUCUGUGCCAGCAGCCGCGGUAAUACAGAGGUCUCAAGCGUUGUUCGGAAUCACUGGGCGUAAAGCGUGCGUAGGCUGUUUCGUAAGUCGUGUGUGAAAGGCGCGGGCUCAACCCGCGGACGGCACAUGAUACUGCGAGACUAGAGUAAGGGAGGGGGAACCGGAAUUCUCGGGGUAGCAGUGAAAUGCGUAGAUAUCGAGAGGAACACUCGUGGCGAAGGCGGGUUCCUGGACAGUAACUGACGCUGAGGCACGAAGGCCAGGGGAGCGAAAGGGAUUAGAUACCCGAGUAGUC
rnacentral:rRNA from 1 species